rnacentral:sRNA from 1 species
UUUCCGGGACAACAUGGCGCCGUCCACGCCGCUCUUGACAGUCCGAGGAUCAGAAGGACUGUACAUGGUGAAUGGACCACCACAUUUUACAGAAAGCACAGUGUUUCCAAGAGAAUCUGGGAAGAAUUGCAAAGUCUAUACCUUUAGUAAGGAUGGGACCUUGUUUGCCUGGGGCAAUGGAGAAAAAGUAAAUAUUAUCAGUGUCACUAACAAGGGACUACUGCACUCCUUCGACCUCCCAAAGGCAGUUUGCCUUGAAUUCUCACCCAAAAAUACUAUCCUGGCAACGUGGCAGCCUUAUACUAGUAAGUAUUUUCUCAGUGUAAAAAUACUCUGACAGGAUCAAUUAUGUUUAGUGGGGGGAAAAGUUAUAAAGUUCAUAACCUCAUACAAAAGUAAUUAGUCUUUCUGAUAGUAAAUAGUGUUUGUGAAUAUUUAUGAUCAACAGUGAAUCUUGUACUCUCCAAAUAAACAAUGUAUUGAAAGUAAUUUCAAGGUAUAUGGUAAGUUUGUAAAGAGCCAUUAUGAGCUAAAGGAAAAGAAAAAGCU